rnacentral:lncRNA from 1 species
UGAACCUUGAAGGGGAAUGCGUCAACCAGGCACUCUCAGGGUCUUAAUGGACUCAUUUGUACUUACAAGAAUGGGCGGGGACCACUAAAGAAGUCUCAAACAAGACUUCUGCUCUGCUCACUGCUUAUGUCCGGGAAAGCAGUGAGUAGAAACAGACAGAGGGGAACCCCACGUCGCUGCACGGGAGGAGCUACCUUAAUCUCUUCCUCUUUGUGCAUAGCUUCUGCUGGAAUCUUUGCACUCACUCUGCCGGUGACAUCGAAUGCUAUUAUUAUCUUCUGCGUGCUAGUGAAUGAAUUAACUCAGCAAGCUCUUCCUGACAGCUGUGAUAGCGUGCCAAGCACUGCAUUAGGGACUAGGGGUGGGGAUGAUGAAGGCAGGGGCUGCUCCUGUAGCUGAGAUCUGGGGUUGACCUUCGGAGUCAGUGUGAGGAGGUCAGAGAAUGACCGAUUUGGGUUUUAGCCUACUAACUGAUCACUGAGAGCAACCCCAUGAACAUGCUAAGCAGGAUUAAAUUUAUCAGUGUUGGGACAGCUCUGUGGAGUAGCUGGAGCCAUCCCUGCGUUUGCCGCCGGGGUUAGGAGGAGGAAUGCAACUUCUCAGAGAUUUAUAGCCAGCUUGUGACAUAGCAUGGAGUUGGUGGUCUGCUAUUACAGAACCAUGGGAUUAAAAGUUUCAUAUUGGAAGGGAGAAAGAACUGCAAAGAGAGGUUCCUAUAAACCUUGCAUUCCUGAGAGUGGCUGCAUGUAAGCCCUUCCCAGCAGAGGUUGCUGACUAUCCCAAGGACUAUUCUAGUGCAGUGUGAGUGGAAGAAAGACCUUCAUUCUGGAGGAUGCUCUGCUUGGCCUGGAUGCUGCCCAUCAGAAGCCCCAGCAAGACUGUUUUCAGCAGGAAUUCCCCAGGUUUGAUGACAUCAUUCUGCUCGCUGUCCCAUCCAGCCUGGUUUAAACAAGGUGGGAUUUAGGAAGCCGAUCUGCUGAGGGCGAAACUGUACUGAGUGUCCUCCAAGCCUCACUUUUCCCCCUGCGGUCCGGCAGAGAAUGGUGGCGUCACCCUAGAGCGAGGAUUUGCAGGGAUUCCUCUGCUUGCUCUUCACAGUCCCUGAAGGAUUUUGUUAGUUCUCCAUUACUUUUGUUACCUGAGACCCAUCUUUUCAUCCUGUUCCUCCUCUUCCUUGACGACCUGGGAUGUUUCCACACUGAGACAAAGAGGAAGAGACACAUCUAAGCAAUUCUCUACAGAUAGUCUCACUCAUCUCUGUCCUGAGUUCUCCUUGUGACAAGUCCAAAAGCUUGGAGAGCUGGCUCUGGUGUCAAUGGCACAGGAGAGCUGGUGAGCUGACCAACUUAGCUUCCAUCCAGGAGUGCACGAAGGGACCAGUCCUGCAGGAUCUCCAUGACACAGGGCAACGAUAGUCCAGAGGCCUUGAACCAGAUCAGACUCAUUGUAAUGGGCAUUUGCAGACCAACUGGAGUGUCUCCUUCCUGAGCAUUCAGCCUACAAUCCCAAGGGACUGAGUUGGCUCCAGUGCAGUAUACAUGGAAGUGGUACUUGCUCUUUGGGGCUUGGCCUCAGAACUAUCCUGAAAUGGAGGAGUUAGAGAAAUAUGUAUCUCUAAAUAUGAGUGACCAUUGGCAGCUCAGGCAAUGUGGGCAGGAGAGAAAAGGCCAGAGGGAUGGUUCUCAGGAGAACACAGUAUGAAGUUGCUUACCUGCAGUCAACAAAAUGUCCUCAGACAUCCACUUCGGGGUGUAUUCCACUGCUACUGUGUAUGCAUUCAGCGAGGCAUCUUAUCUAUGUGACCAUUCAGAUACUAUACACAGGUUCAUACCAAGAAUAUGCUAAGGCAACUGACUAUAUAUACUGUGUCAACUACAUAGCUCUUGAAAGUGUAUGAUUUAGUAACUUCCUAAUCACGAUAUCUUAUAAAGAGCAGUGUGAUUUUAAAUUUACUGUUUUAAUUAAUUGUCCAGUGUUUAAAAAAAUGAACUGAAGCCUGACUGAUUGUAUAAUUUUAAUAUUUGAAAAUGUACACAAAUAAACUCAACACAAUACAGAUUUAUACAAAAGAAGGACUUCUAAAAACUUAUACAGAAAAAAUAAAUAAUAGGUUUUUAAAAAAAGGACAAGACAUUUUAUAAAUACUAAUAAAUACUGUGCAAUGCUUUAAUUUACUAUGGCAGAUAGAAAAACUCAAGAAAUCAUUAAUAGGUUGUAUAUUUAAAAAGCUACAUGAAUUUUCUAGCUGAUUAAAAUAAAAUGUAACAGUAGUAGUUUUUACUUUUAAAAUGAGGUAUUAUUACAUUGUAAACCAAAACAGAGCAUAAAUAUAUGGUUUAGCAAUUAAUGGUUAUCAACUUCAACUUAAUAAAAGACAACAAAAAUUCCCAUUAUUUAUGGACUUUUGUCACCUAAAAUUUGGCUUGCCUGUGUACUUGCAAAAGUGACAUAGCUACCAAUACACACACAUCGUUAGACAUGCAGACCAAACCAAUACUAUUUCCAUGAGUCAUCCCUAACAAAUAAAAACUUUGUUUACAUUUUACUGAAAACACUUAAAUCUGGUUUCCUAUACAUAAUUCUUUGUGCUUGUUAGUAGGAACCUACAUUAAACAUUUCUACGCAGUGCAAGAGAGAAGCAGUUUUAUUUGCAUAUGGAUUAAAGACAAUAUACACACCAAACCAACUGUACCUUUAGCUGUCUUAGGCUUCCCACGAUUUAAAGAACAACUACCCUUCUGGUAAACUCACAUGGGAAAGUAGUCAUUUGCAGUCUCAAGCGUUACAGGAAGGAAGCUGGGUUUUCUAACACGGGUGGGUGGGCUUCGGAACUAUAGGACGCUGAUGAGUUACUGCACCCUUGAAUUCUGCUGGUUGGGUGCAGAAAGCACAGCGACAAGGAAAUGCCUAGCUCAGGGGAGCCUCGGGCCAAGUAUGAUUUGCACAUGGGCCAUAAGCUGGUACUAAAUGCUGGUUUCAUUCUUAUUGCAAAUGUCACUUCAGAGUUUUCUGAAGAAAAACUAUCAAAGAAUAAUUCUUGAGAUGAAAAUAUUUGUGACAUGCUAAUAAAACUGCUUCACUAUAAAUUAAAACAAAACAAAACAAAACAAAACAAAAAUCCCUGGGGCUUAAAAAUACAGUUUUUACAUGCUAUUUUAUUAUAAAUAGAAAACAAGGAUACUUUUGGAUUUACUAUAUUUAGAAUCCAGUGAAAAACACACAUUUUAGCCAAAAUGUCAAACUUCUUUUUUAUAUCAAGCUACAUCAUUUUGACAUAAAUGUUUUUAAUUGUAUUUCACUUUUGUCAAAUAUCCUACAUUUUCCAAAAAUUAGUGUUUUCAUAUAACUGGUGAUCAAAAAUUGUAGAUAUAAGCAGUACAUCAAAAUAUAUAAAAUAGCAGGGCUUCUUUUGUGCUUGUAAUUAUUUUAAGUAAUCAAUGACUAGUUUGGUCUAGUUUGCUCUACUAUAUUGAUUUUUAAGAAGAAAUAACCAUUAUACAAACAUUACAGAAUACUCAAGUAACCAAUUUACUGUCAGUGGGCAUGCAGACUAACAAUACUUAAAAGAAUAUAACCUUGAAUCCAAUUGGUCUGAAAAUACUCUUGUACAAUCAUCUUUGUUGAUUUGUAAAAGCUGUACACACAUCUAAAACCCUAAAUUUACUUUGUAAAAAUAAAUCUUUAGCAAUAAAUGGCACUAUCAAAAUCCCAUGAUGGAGGUCAGAGCUUACCGUAUGGUCAGGUCUGUCUUCGCAUAGCCGUCGUACUGUGUGCUCCUCUGCAGUGCAUGCAUAUCCAGUUCAGGACUGCCACAAACCAGGAUUUCUACUUCUUCUGGACGAAGCAGCUAUCAAUAAUCACAAAAACCAUAAUUCAAAAUGAUAGUCUUGCCGGGCAGUGGCGGUGCCCUCCUUUAAUCCCAGCACUCGGGAGGCAGAGGCAGGCGGAUUUCUGAGUUCGAGGCCAGCCUGGUCUACAAAGUGAGUUCCAGGACAGCCAGGGCUGCACAGAGAAACCCUGUCUUGAAAAUCCAAAUUUAAAAAAAUGAUAGUCUUAAAUGAAAUUUGAAGUGUUUUUAUUGCAGAAUCAAAUCAUAGAAAUUAUGACACUGUCUCAGUAAAUAAAAUUACUUUUUUGUUGAAGAGAAACGGAAGAGUGCGAGAAUGAUCAAAACCUACUAAGCAAAGCCAGAACUUUAGCGGCUGAUGGGAUCCACCAGGUACACUUCGUUAGAGGCGGGAAUUCUUCAGGUUUUGCUGGAAACAGCCGUAAAGAAACAAAUUGCAGCAAUCUCUCUACCAGUUGCUUGAAUU